rnacentral:rRNA from 1 species
AGACAACCAGGAUGUUGGCUUAGAAGCAGCCACUCAUUCAAAGAGUGCGUAAUAGCUCACUGGUCGAGUGAUCCUGCGCCGAAGAUUUCCGGGGCUAAAACUUACUACCGAAGCUACGGCAUCAGUAAUGAUGGGUAGGGGAGCUUCCCAUACGGGUUGAAGCAUGACCGUAAGGACAUGUGGACAGUAUGGGAGUGAGAAUGUUGGCAUGAGUAGCGAGAUGUGGGUGAGAAUCCCACAGGCCGUAAACCCAAGGUUUCCAGGGGAAGGUUCGUCCGCCCUGGGUUAGUCGGGACCUAAGCUGAGGCCGAAAGGCGUAGGUGAUGGACAACAGGUUGAUAUUCCUGUACUACCGAUAACCGUUUGAGAGAAGGGAUGACACAGUAGGAUAAGCUAAGCACACUGUUGGUUAUGUGUGCCCAAGCAUUGAGGCAGUCAAAGUAGGCAAAUCCGCUUUGAUAAUGCUGGGAUGUGAUGGGGAGCGAAAUUUAGUAGCGAAGUAGCUGAUUUCACACUGUCAAGAAAAGUCUCUAUCGAGGUUAAAGGUACCCGUACCGCAAACCGACACAGGUGGGUGAGGAGAGUAUCCUAAGGCCA